rnacentral:lncRNA from 1 species
ACUUAAAUUCUCUUAUUUUUAACGUGAAAAUAAUGCUUCAUUAUGAUUUUAAAAAUUAAAUGAUAUGCUGUUUUUCACUGUCUAUAAACUUCUAAAAUAUAUAGGUCUAAUCGGAAAAUAAUUCGGCCAUGUGAUUUAUGGUUAAAACAUUCGCUUAUUACCUUGAAGGAUCUAGAUUCAAUUUUGACUCCCCACUUUUGUUUAGUAGUAGUACGGAUCGGGCCCAGACCAUUCUUAAAAAACGAGGUUUGGGACCCCAUCUCUUGCAGUUGGCAUCGUCAUGGGUAUGGAUUCUAAACACGACCGCCGCCAGAUACAGUAUCCCCAUGAAUAUCCAAUAUGCGAAAUGGUGAUUUAAUCAAACUUAACAAAAAAUGACAUUUUCAAUGAUGUAUUAUAAACGAUUUUUUUUUAAUUGACAUCUUUACCAAGCAGUUGUUAAUUUUUCUGAUAAAGGAAUAAUUAGGUCUGAUAAUUUUAAGUAUAUUUCUGAGACUUCCCGAAAAUCUCUGCCGAUAGCCACUCUGUAGAAUAAGCCAACUUUAUUAAGAAAUGACGUCAUUUUCCCCGUCAAGUGACAGACGAAAUACUCUGUACAGUAUUGCUCAAUCUUAAGAGGAGAAAGCCGUAUUGUGAAAGUGCGGGUCGACAGACCGGACUCCGACUACAUGAUAAAUAUUUUUGAAGAUGGGACUCAAGUUCUCCAGAAUGGAAAAUCGAAGUGUUUCCUUAUGGCUGCGUGGUAAAGCGUUCGCUCACCACCAUAGUCGGGUUCAAAUCUGGCAUACAUCAAUUUUUUCAUCAAGAGAAAGAGGAACCAAUGCGAAAAUAAAUUGUAAUUAUUUACAUGAUUGAAAGUCUGUCUAAACAAAUAUAUUUCUCGUAUUAGCAUAUCGCGAUCAGGAUAUCAGAAUCGCAAAUAUGCUUUAUUAUUUUUAACAUAGAUCCAACUUUAUUUUCAUUAAGAGCUGCAUAUAAUCCCGGUGUAGAGUCGGCCGGAUUGGCCGCGUGGAAAUCACUCUGGAGGACCCCGGUUCGAGUCUCGGGUCCCACCCC